AACGUAGGAGGCAAGCGUUAUCCGGAUUUACUGGGCGUAAAGCGCGUGCAGGCGGCCCGGCAAGUUGGAUGUGAAAGCUCCCGGCUCAACUGGGAGAGGUCGUUCAAUACUGCCAGGCUGGAGGAUGGUAGAGGGAGGUGGAAUUCCGGGUGUAGUGGUGAAAUGCGUAGAUAUCCGGAGGAACACCAGUGGCGAAAGCGGCCUUCUGGACCAAUCCUGACGCUCAGACGCGAAAGCGUGGGGAGCAAAC
rnacentral:rRNA from 1 species